GAUGAACGCUGGCGGCGUGCCUAAUACAUGCAAGUCGAGCGAACAGAUGAGAAGCUUGCUUCUCUGAUGUUAGCGGCGGACGGGUGAGUAACACGUGGGUAACCUACCUAUAAGACUGGGAUAACUCCGGGAAACCGGGGCUAAUACAGGAUAAUAUUUUGAACCGCAUGGUUCAAUAGUGAAAGACGGUUUCGGCUGUCACUUAUAGAUGGACCCGCGCCGUAUUAGCUAGUUGGUAAGGUAACGGCUUACCAAGGCGACGAUACGUAGCCGACCUGAAGGGGUGUACGGGCACACUGGAACCGAGACACGGUCCAGACUCCUACGGGAGGCAGCAGUAGGGAAUCUUCCGCAAUGGGCGAAAGCCUGACGGAGCAACGCCGCGUGAGUGAUGAAGGUCUUCCGAUCGUAAAACUCUGUUGUUAUGGAAGAACAAAUUUGUUAGUAACUGAACAAGUCUUGACGGUACCUAACCAGAAAGCCACGGCUAACUACGCGCCAGCCGCCGCAGUAA
rnacentral:rRNA from 1 species